rnacentral:misc_RNA from 1 species
GAUGAAGAACGUAGUGAAAUGCGAUAAGUAAUGUGAAUUGCAGAAUUCAGUGAAUCAUCGAAUCUUUGAACGCACCUUGCGCCCUUUGGCCAUUCCGAAGGGCAUGCCUGUUUGAGUAUCAUGAACACCUCAACUCUCAUGGCUUGCCAUGAUGAGCUUGGACUUUGGGGGUCUUGCUGGCCUGUGGUCGACUCCUCUCAAAUGAAUCAGCUUGCCAGUGUUUGGUGGCAUCACAAGUGUGAUAACUAUCUGCGCUCGUGGUUUCCAUCAGAUAACCUCCAGUGAUGGAGGUUCGCUGGAGCUCAUAAAUGUCUCUCCUAAGCGAGGACAGCUCUUUUAAUGUUUGAUCUCAAAUCAGGUAGGACUACCCGCUGAACUUAAGCAUAUCAAUAAGCGGAGGA